GGGAGGGCGUGGGCUGCGACGACGCCGGGCUGCGUGACGGACCAUCCUGGGAGACUCUUUCGUCGGCUUCGAUCGGCCCGAGCUCUGCGUCGGCGCGCCGGCGCGUCGGCACUGCGGGUUCUCGACCUCUUCGCGCGAUGACGAGUGCAGGGGCAGUUCUGUCUUGGAGUUAUGUUCCAAAUCCUCAAAAUGAAAGAAAAGAAUUUAGAAGGGCAAA